UUGAUUACGUCCCUGCCCUUUGUACACACCGCCCGUCGCUGCCCGGGACUGAGCCAUUUCGAGAAACUUGGGGAUUGUUGGUUUUGCGGUUUUCGGAUCGCUUUAUCGAUGAGAACCAAUUUAAUCGCAGUGGCUUGAACCGGGCAAAAGUCGUAACAAGGUGGCUGUAGGUGAACCUGCUGCCGGAUCAUUACUCAUGUAUUGAUCACAUACACACUUUAGUGUGCAUCCAUGUAGAUUGCCACCAUUGUAUGGUUGGUGGUGGUCCGAGAAGGUAGCACCCAAUUGGCUUGUCUCGAGCUUGGUAUUCCGACUUGUGUUUGGUCGGUGCCAAGUGGCUGGUUGUGGACUACCAGAUCGACGCUUGUCUCGUGGCGUUAUAUGGACCGUGCCCUUGAUGUGGUCAUUGUCUCUUGACCCGUCGCGUUGGAUGGUGCUUGCCUCGAUGCAUCAGUCUAGCACGGCGUUCAUUGGGCCUAACGGCUUUGCUGGCGUCUAUGCGUGGUUGAGCAGUUGUUGUCUCUCCGUCCGUGGCUGUGAUGAGACCGCGCGGUAGGGCCCAUGCCAUGCCUCUGGCAUGUUGGCUUAAGACUUGAUGAGCGCAUCGACUUGCGCCGCCAGUACACAUUUUUUCAUUACAUUUUUUUCCAAGCGAACAAGAAUUCAAGUCUUAUCGGUGGAUCACUCGGCUCGUAGAUCGAUGAAGAACGCAGCUAACUGCGAUAAUUAGUGUGAACUGCAGAAACCUUGAACACGGAAAUUUCGAAUGCACAUUGCGCCAUUGGAGCCAUAUCCUUUGGCAUGCUUUGCUCAGGGUCGCAAUAAUAAAGCGCUAGCUUUUGGCGUUUACUAGCGUUAGAUCACGCACUCUGGAAUCUCAAGGGUUGUGAAUCCGAUGAGUUAACGUGUUCUUCCGACAGUGUAAGCGGACCGUCUUGUUUGGCUCUGGUCUGGUUCGGACUUGGAUCUAUUGUGUCAGUGCCGUUGUAAGGUGUGUCUCUUUACAACCGCCGAUCCUUACGCCGUUCUAACCAAAGUUCCUCUUGACGUUGUUCUCCAAUUUGAAUAAUUGAAUUUUCGACCUGAGCUAAAGCGUGAAUACCCGCUGAACUUAAGCAUAUCAGUAAGCGGAGGAAAAGAAACUAACAAGGAUUCCCUUAGUAACGGCGAGUGAAA
rnacentral:rRNA from 1 species